rnacentral:rRNA from 1 species
AUUGAACGCUGGCGGCAUGCCUUACACAUGCAAGUCGAACGGCAGCACGGGUGCUUGCACCUGGUGGCGAGUGGCGAACGGGUGAGUAAUAUAUCGGAACGUACCUUAUUGUGGGGGAUAACGCAGCGAAAGCUGUGCUAAUACCGCAUAAUCCCUAAGGGGGAAAGCGGGGGACCGUAAGGCCUCGCGCAAUUAGAGCGGCCGAUACCUGAUUAGCUAGUUGGUGAGGUAAAGGCUCACCAAGGCAACGAUCAGUAGCUGGUCUGAGAGGACGAUCAGCCACACUGUGGCUGAGACACGGCCCGGACUCCGACGGGAGGGAGCAGUGGGGAAUUUUGGACAAGGGGGGCAACCCUGAUCCAGCAACGCCGCGUGAGUGAAGAAGGCCUUCGGGUUGUAAAGCUCUUUUGUCAGGGAAGAGACAGCAGCUCUAACACAGUAUGCGAAUGACGGUACCUGAAGAAUAAGCACCGGCUAACUACGUGCCAGCAGCCGCCGUAA